GAGGGAUCAUUGAAACCGAUCAAUCCAACCACAGAGCACCUGUGGGUCCGCCCCCAGCCCGGUGCUGUCCCCUCUCGGGGGCGCCCGGGGGGUUUUGGGGCGGGCCUGCCGUAUUCUAAGGGUCCGCCGGUCGCCCCCUCGGGGGAGGCCGGUCCCGGAUCCCCAACCCAUCUGAACCCUUCUGCCCUGAAGCAGCUUCGCAAGGGGACACCCCGAGCGACAGUAACAGAGACAACUCUCAACAACGGAUAUCUUGGCUCUCGCAACGAUGAAGAACGCAGCGAAAUGCGAUACGUAGUGUGAAUUGCAGAAUUCCGUGAGUCAUCGAAUCUUUGAACGCACAUUGCCGGUCGACUCUUCGGAGGAGACCACAUCUGCCUCAGCGUCGGGAUACCCCCUCACGCACAACCGCGCGUGGAUCUGGCCCCCCCGGCCCCCCUCGCAGGGGACCGGGCCGGCUGAAAUGCAGAGGCCCGUGCGCGGCCCACUUGUGGCCCCGACUAGGUAGGUAGCUCGCUACUGCUAGGCGGCGGCUCGGUGCCGCGGACUUUGGGCCGCAAAGGAUACUCCCAUUCAUUCGACCUGAGUUCAGGUGAGGCUACCCGCUGAACUUA
rnacentral:rRNA from 1 species